GGGGAAUAUUGGACAAUGGGCGAAAGCCUGAUCCAGCCAUGCCGCGUGUGUGAAGAAGGUCUUCGGAUUGUAAAGCACUUUAAGUUGGGAGGAAGGGCAGUAAGUUAAUACCUUGCUGUUUUGACGUUACCAACAGAAUAAGCACCGGCUAACUUCGUGCCAGCAGCCGCGGUAAUACGAAGGGGGCUAGCGUUGUUCGGAAUCACUGGGCGUAAAGCGCACGUAGGCGGACUUUUAAGUCAGGGGUGAAAUCCCGGGACUCAACCUCGGAACUGCAUCCAAAACUGGCGAGCUAGAGUACGGUAGAGGGUGGUGGAAUUUCCUGUGUAGCGGUGAAAUGCGUAGAUAUAGGAAGGAACACCAGUGGCGAAGGCGACCACCUGGACUGAUACUGACACUGAGGUGCGAAAGCGUGGGGAGCAAACA
rnacentral:rRNA from 1 species